rnacentral:rRNA from 1 species
CCUACGGGAGGCAGCAGUAAGGAAUAUUGGUCAAUGGACGAAAGUCUGAACCAGCCAUGCCGCGUGAAGGAUUAAGGCCCUCUGGGUUGUAAACUUCUUUUAUCUGGGACGAAAAAAGGGUAUUCUUACUCACUUGACGGUACCAGAGGAAUAAGCACCGGCUAACUCCGUGCCAGCAGCCGCGGUAAUACGGAGGGUGCAAGCGUUAUCCGGAUUUACUGGGUUUAAAGGGUGCGUAGGUGGGCUUGUAAGUCAGUGGUGAAAUCUCCGGGCUUAACCCGGAAACUGCCAUUGAUACUAUAGGUCUUGAAUUAUCUGGAGGUAAGCGGAAUAUGUCAUGUAGCGGUGAAAUGCUUAGAUAUGACAUAGAACACCAAUUGCGAAGGCAGCUUACUACGGGAUAUAUUGACACUGAGGCACGAAAGCGUGGGGAUCAAACAGGAUUAGAUACCCUGUAGUCCACGCCCUAAACGAUGGAUACUCGACAUCAGCGAUACACUGUUGGUGUCUGAGCGAAAGCAUUAAGUAUCCACCUGGGAAGUACGAUCGCAAGAUUGAAACUCAAAGGAAUUGACGGCNGAGAGNGCGAGACGACGACGAGGGAGAGG